CUACUACUCCCUCCGUCCGAAAAUACUUGUCAUUGAAAUGGAUGUAUCUAGAUGUAUUGUAGUUCUAGACACAUCCAUUUUGAUGACAAGUAAUUCCGGACGGAGGGAGUAUUAU
rnacentral:pre_miRNA from 1 species